AGCCGAGAUAGCUCAGUCGGUAGAGCAUCCGCAUGGUAAGCGGAAGAUCGCGGGUUCGAUUCCCGCUCUCGGCUU
rnacentral:tRNA from 1 species